rnacentral:rRNA from 1 species
GAAUAUUGGACAAUGGGCGAAAGCCUGAUCCAGCCAUGCCGCGUGUGUGAAGAAGGUCUUCGGAUUGUAAAGAACUUUAAGUUGGGAGGAAGGGCAGUAAGCGAAUACCUUGCUGUUUUGACGCUCACGACAGAAGAACCACCGGCGAACCCUGUGCCUGCCGCCGCGGUAAUACAGAGGGUGCAAGCGUUAAUCGGAAUUACUGGGCGUAAAGGGCGCGUAGGUGGUUCGUUAAGUUGGAUGUGAAAUCCCCGGGCUCAGCCUGGGAACUGCAUCCAAAACUGGCGAGCUAGAGUAGGGCAGAGGGUGGUGGAAUUUCCUGUGUAGCGGUGAAAUGCGUAGAUAUAGGAAGGAACACCAGUGGCGAAGGCGACCACCUGGGCUCAUACUGACACUGAGGUGCGAAAGCGUGGGGAGCAAACAG